AUUAUUAUUUAUUAUUCUUUCCCAAGAUAUAAUAAACCUAUGAUUACCACGAGACGAUCAUAUUUCUAGUCCGAAUUCAUAUGGCAAACAUGUAUUGACAUUCAGAAUUAUCACAUAUGAUCGCACACGUCACAAAUAUUAUUCCUAACAUUUAUUGUCCGUGUGUCCCAAUAAUAGUGUUCUACCUACUGUGAGUUUUCCAACACAAUGAAUAAGCAACUUACUACCCUAAUUGUGCGCAAACAUUAAAACAAUAUAAUUAUGCAUAUUAAUGGAAUCACAACACAAGAAUUAAAAUAAAAACACAUGUCUCGAAUGAAAAUUAAGAAUUAAACAAUUUUGUCAUCCAUCCAAUACAUGAGAAAAAUUAGCCUAGCAUAAUGUUGGGAUUAAACACAUAAAAGUGGAAGGAAAUCACCGAAAAUUGAUGGAAAGUGAUUAAAUUCCAAAUUCUUUCUUCAACUGCUUUCAGUUCGUCUCCGUCCUAGUGGCUGCCAUCUCCAAUUUGGUGCGUAAAUAUAUAGCCUUCCUCAAAAACAGCCGUCUGAUCUCUUCCUUUCUUUUUUUCGCGUCCAACAACCACCACCAAUGUGUAUAUGUAUAAUAAUUCUCAGCAAUAGGCAACCACAAAUUCCCUUUCCUCCUUAGCUUUCUGUGCGUCAAGUUAAUAAUAAUGGCCCCCCAAAGCCCUACUCCUUUUUUCGG
rnacentral:lncRNA from 1 species